rnacentral:rRNA from 1 species
CCCAAGAGAUCGGGAUAACACCUGGAAACAGAUGCUAAUACCGGAUAACAACAGAUGAUGCCUAUCAACUGUUUAAAAGAUGGUUCUGCUAUCACUCUUGGAUGGACCUGCGGUGCAUUAGUUAGUUGGUAGGGUAACGGCCUACCAAGGCGAUGAUGCAUAGCCGAGUUGAGAGACUGAUCGGCCACAUUGGGACUGAGACACGGCCCAAACUCCUACGGGAGGCAGCAGUG